rnacentral:rRNA from 1 species
UACGUAGGGCGCAAGCGUUGUCCGGAUUUACUGGGUUUAAAGGGUGCGUAGGCGGCCUUUUAAGUCGGCUGUGAAAUGUCGGGGCUCAACCCCGGCGCUGUGGCCGAUACUGAGAGGCUUGAAUCAACACGAGGCAACUGGAAUGAACGGUGUAGCGGUGAAAUGCGUAGAGAUCGUUCAGAACGCCGAUUGCGAAGGCAGGUUGCUGGAGUUGGAUUGACGCUGAGGCACGAAAGCGUGGGGAGCGAACAGG